AGGCUCAUUAGAGUUUCUGGAGGAAAUAGCUUUAUUGAUUCAUCAAGACUGUGGAGUUGCUCAAAACUGUGGGAAUCCAGAAACGUUGCUGUUCCACCAAAUUUUUGCUACCAUUGAAUGCUCAUGUUCCCCUGAGAAUUCAGAUACUAUAAAGUUCCUAUUGCAAGUGAUAAACGUGACUCCUCAGGUAUCCAGAAUAAAUCCAGGUAUGGUCAAAAAGAUUUCAAAAGUGAAAUUAAACUCAUGGUUUGGGAAAAAAUAGGGUUAAAUUCAAUGCAGUUAUUAGGAUUGCUCAGCUAGUUCUUUAUGUCUAGUUCUAGGCCAAACAGUUCCACAAAAAAAGCACAGGAGUGUUUAAAAGUACAAGAAAAACAUAAUAACUUUCAACUGUUGAUGGUCAGAGUCCAAAAUUAAAAUUGCAAGUAAAAAUUAUUGAAAUAAGAAGCUUAAUGGAAAAAGGAACUUAUGUAACUAUAGUAUCACAGAAACCUUGGUACUUAGAAUGGCCACUUUAACAGUUUUAUACCCAGUUCAUAGGAAGUUAAAAUUAUCAUAGCAAACAAAAGUGUAGAAUGACUUAAAUGUGUGGGACAAGAAGUUCAAAUGUGAAAGCUAUGGCCUUAUGUUAAUGACAUGCCCAUAAAAUUAUGUGGAAGUGAUCUUUUACAAGAGUUCAGUACACAGGUUAAUAUUCCUGUGAUGCAAGAAACAGCUCAUGAGGAAAUUCAAGAAGAAAUGUUGGAUGCUCCAGGGGAAGAUAUUAGCAUAUGUCAUCAAAAACAAUCCCAGGCUUUGCCAAUUUUCCAAACCCAGGACAUAACAGGAGCUGCAUUGCCAAAAUUAAAGGGGGUGCCAAGGAUGAAAUGCCAAGAGGCCUGCCCUGAAAAUGGUUACCUCCCAGCCUGUAGGUGUACAUCAAUGGCCCUUGAAAAAGGAACUAUGAUAGGAGCUUGACCAUCUGGUACAGGAACAGCUAGAGGCUACAUAUAUAGAAUAGCCUGCAAACCCAUGGAAAUGCCCUGCUUUGUUUGAAAAUGAAUUAGAAAAAAUUACAAAUAUUGACAGAUUUAAGAGCUGAAGAUAGAGUAAUUGAAUGAAUAUACCCAUUACAACCAUGGAAUUCCUUUACCUUCUUUAUUAUCUAAUUAAGUGAUAGUAAUUGAUUUAAAAGAUUACUUUUUUGCUAUCCCUGUUGAUGAGCAUGAUAGAGAAACGUUUGUUUAUACCAAUUCUUAACCUGUAAAAAGAUAUCAGUGGAAUGUUCUUCUACUGGGAAUGUUAAAUAUUCUAACUCUAUGUAAAUAUUUU
rnacentral:sRNA from 1 species